UACGUAGGGGGCUAGCGUUGUCCGGAAUCAUUGGGCGUAAAGCGCGUGUAGGCGGUCCGGUAAGUCCGCUGUGAAAGUCGGGGGGCUCAACCCUCGGAUGCCGGUGGAUACUGUCGGGCUUGAGUACGGAAGAGGCGAGUGGAAUUCCUGGUGUAGCGGUGAAAAUGCGCAGAUAUCAGGAGGAACACCAGUGGCGAAGGCGGCUCACUGGUCCAUUACUGACGCUGAGGUGCGAAAGCGUGGGGAGCAAACAGG
rnacentral:rRNA from 1 species